rnacentral:rRNA from 1 species
AGCAGCCGCCGCGGUAAUACGAAGGGGGCUAGCGUUGUUCGGAAUUACUGGGCGUAAAGGGCGCGUAGGCGGCCAUUCAAGUUAGAUGUGAAAGCCCUGGGCUCAACCUAGGAAUUGCAUUUGAUACUGUUUGGCUUGAGUUGGGAGAGGUGAGUGGAACUCCCAGUGUAGAGGUGAAAUUCGUAGAUAUUGGGAAGAACACCAGUGGCGAAGGCGGCUCACUGGACCGACACUGACGCUGAGGCGCGAAAGCGUGGGGAGCAAACAGGAUUAGAUACCCCAGUAGUCCCUGUCUCUUAUACA